CCUACGGGUGGCAGCAGUGAGGAAUAUUGGUCAAUGGACGAGAGUCUGAACCAGCCAAGUAGCGUGAAGGAUGACUGCCCUAUGGGUUGUAAACUUCUUUUAUAUGGGAAUAAAACGUUCCACGUGUGGGAUUUUGUAUGUACCAUAUGAAUAAGGAUCAGCUAACUCCGUGCCAGCAGCCGCGGUAAUACGGAGGAUCCGAGCGUUAUCCGGAUUUAUUGGGUUUAAAGGGAGCGUAGGUGGAUUGUUAAGUCAGUUGUGAAAGUUUGCGGCUCAACCGUAAAAUUGCAGUUGAAACUGGCAGUCUUGAGGACAGUAGAGGUGGGCGGAAUUCGUGGUGUAGCGGUGAAAUGCUUAGAUAUCACGAAGAACUCCGAUUGCGAAGGCAGUUCACUGGACUGCAACUGACACUGAGGCUCGAAAGUGUGGGUAUCAAACAGGAUUAGAUACCCUAGUAGUC
rnacentral:rRNA from 1 species